rnacentral:rRNA from 1 species
CAGCAGCCGCGGUAAUACGUGGGUGGCAAGCGUUGUCCGGAAUUAUUGGGCGUAAAGGGCUCGCAGGCGGUUUCUUAAGUCUGAUGUGAAAGCCCCCGGCUCAACCGGGGAGGGUCAUUGGAAACUGGGAAACUUGAGUGCAGAAGAGGAGAGUGGAAUUCCACGUGUAGCGGUGGAAUGCGUAGAGAUGUGGAGGAACACCAGUGGCGAAGGCGACUCUCUGGUCUGUAACUGACGCUGAGGAGCGAAAGCGUGGGGAGCGAACAGGAUUAGAUACCCCGGUAGUCCCUGUCUCUUAUAC